AAAUCAAGGAUAAUAUAUUUAGAAGGUUGAUUUUUAUCGCUUUUGCUGGGCGACAUUGUGGGGGACAUCUGUCACUCUCUGCAUACAAAUUUCAUUACCCCGCACCAGCCCUCCCCGAUUUUCAUACCGGAGCCCCCGGAAGAGAAAUGUCAAGUCGAGAAAUGUCAUUUUGCUCUGAACAACUUCACCUUGUCAUUUAUAACACCUUGGUAAAAAUCAACCUUCUAAAUACAUUAUCCUUGGUUUUAACCUACCGAAAACAACCGAUAAAAUUUUGAUGCGCCUACCGAAAACCGCCAAAAUAAUCUGGCCACACUGGUUGCCACCGGUCAACGUCCAGGCCCUACCAGCCAAAAUCCCACGGAAAAGACGACGCGUCCCAACAACUGUCUAUUAUCUGACACAUAUCUCGUUAUUAGACAAACUGUCCCAAUAACUGCCUAAUAACAGUCUAACAAAAAUUAUUAGGCAAUACGUCUAAAUAAUGUCCGAAACCGUCUAAUAACAUUUUUUUAAGACGCGAACAAUCAAAACCAAAAAUCUCGGCCAUUUUCAAUUCGCUUGAUUUGUCGCGUCUCUUUACUGUAGCGGUUUUGGAUUAAAGUUUGUAGAAAUAAACGUUCUUUGCAAAUGGAUAAUUUACAGCGUGUGGACAACAUCAAGUAUUCCGAACAAAUUAGAAAGACUGGAAUGCUCUAUAAGCAAAGGGAUAAAUUGAGGCUAAUUGAGAAAGACGCAGCAGAUCAUGGAUCAACGUCAGUUGAUGACGCUGGAUAUUCGAAUAUAUCUCAUGCGGAUUGCAGCAUAGCUGAUCAGAGUGAUAAUAUUGUAUCCGAUGAAUCGACUGUAUCCAUCGAAGAUUUUUUGGAAGAUGAAUCGGAAGAAGAGGUUAGUGGAGACAGUGAUGCUGAAGAAGGAGAUACCGAACGCUGUUCAUCAAGUUUGCCGUUUGCUGAUCGUAUAAGAGGAUGGGCAUUGAAAGCAAAUCUUUCACACUACAGCCUCAAUCAGCUUCUGCAAAUUAUUAAUACGUCAAAGAUCGAUAAACUACCCAAGGAUGCCAGAACGUUGCUUAAAACAAAUAGGGAGCGUGCAAGAGUAGAUAAAAUAGCAGGAGGAAAAUAUUGGUAUAAUGGAAUACAACAGUGUUUUUCCAACAGUUUUAAAAAUCAAAGCAUUCAUUUGGACUCGAUAUUGAUAAACAUAUCAAUCGAUGGGCUCCCUCUGUAUAAGAGUAGCCCUACUCAAUUUUGGCCUAUAUUAGUGUUGGGCAUUGUGCGCGAGUGCGCACUGUGCGCACAGCACACUUCAAUGUGCGCACUGCACAGCACACUUUGUACUGUGCGAGCACACUUCGCACAGUGCGCGCACUCCGCACUGUGCGCGCACUACGCACUGUGCGCGCACUCCGCACUGUGCGCGCACUCCGCACUGUGCGCGCACUCGGCACUUUUCGCACACUCCGCACAGUGCGCGCACUUUUCG